GACGAACGCUGGCGGCGUGCCUAAUACAUGCAAGUUGAGCGCUGAAGGUUGGUACUUGUACCAACUGGAUGAGCAGCGAACGGGUGAGUAACGCGUGGGGAAUCUGCCUUUGAGCGGGGGACAACAUUUGGAAACGAAUGCUAAUACCGCAUAAAAACUUUAAACACAAGUUUUAAGUUUGAAAGAUGCAAUUGCAUCACUCAAAGAUGAUCCCGCGUUGUAUUAGCUAGUUGGUGAGGUAAAGGCUCACCAAGGCGAUGAUACAUAGCCUACCUGAGAGGGUGAUCGGCCACAUUGGAACUGAGACACGGCCCAAACUCCUACGUAAGGCAGCAGUAGGGAAUCUUCGGCAAUGGACGAAAGUCUGACCGAGCAACGCCGCGUGAGUGAAGAAGGUUUUCGGAUCGUAAAACUCUGUUGGUAGAGAAGAGCGUUGGUGAGAGUGGAAAGCUCAUCAAGUGACGGUAACUACCCAGAGAAGGACGGCUAACUACGUG
rnacentral:rRNA from 1 species